UGGGGAAUCUUAGACAAUGGGGGCAACCCUGAUCUAGCCAUGCCGCGUGAGUGAUGAAGGCCUUAGGGUUGUAAAGCUCUUUCAGCUGGGAAGAUAAUGACGGUACCAGCAGAAGAAGCCCCGGCUAACUCCGUGCCAGCAGCCGCGGUAAUACGGAGGGGGCUAGCGUUGUUCGGAAUUACUGGGCGUAAAGCGCACGUAGGCGGACUGGAAAGUCAGAGGUGAAAUCCCAGGGCUCAACCUUGGAACUGCCUUUGAAACUAUCAGUCUGGAGUUCGAGAGAGGUGAGUGGAAUUCCGAGUGUAGAGGUGAAAUUCGUAGAUAUUCGGAGGAACACCAGUGGCGAAGGCGGCUCACUGGCUCGAUACUGACGCUGAGGUGCGAAAGCGUGGGGAGCAAACAGG
rnacentral:rRNA from 1 species